ensembl:lncRNA
AGACGAGACUUCGAUGCAGCGAGUGCGUUGUGUGGAAAUAGCCUUGCUAUCGCUAAUUCAACGGCUGAAUGGGGCACAAGUAGAGACCCAGGACGUGAGGACGUGCCAUUAGAACCAGUUAGUUGAAAAACACGCAUGUCCACUUGUGAUCACAGCGAAACAAUGAAGUCUGACCUUUACUGAUAAGAAAACAGCCUGCAGCUCCUUGGAUGCUUUCAUUGGAUAUCUUGUAACUUCCUGAAUGAGCAGUCACAGAAGGAAUUUUGGAUAAGCAGCCACUCCUGGGAAAGAGCAAAAGUAGAGACACGUUCAACUUCCCUUGAAAGGAGCUCCUCUGACGGCAAAGCUCUGCCAGAUGUCUCUUCAUGAUACAGCGACUGAUGCUUGAACACUUCUGAGAGGCAACUUGAAACCAGACCAUUGCGUGAAUUUGUCGUAUCGUUCCGCAGUCG